UACAGAGGUCCCAAGCGUUGUUCGGAUUCACUGGGCGUAAAGGGUGCGUAGGUGGCCGGGAAAGUUUGAUGUGAAAGCUCGGAGCUCAACUCCGAAAUGGCAUUGAAUACUAUUCGGCUUGAGGGUCGGAGGGGAGACUGGAAUUCUCGGUGUAGCAGUGAAAUGCGUAGAUAUCGAGAGGAACACCAGUGGCGAAGGCGAGUCUCUGGACGACACCUGACACUGAGGCACGAAAGCUAGGGGAGCAAACAGG
rnacentral:ncRNA from 2 species